AAAAUCUCAAAAAUUUUUAAUUUCUAAUUAAAAACAAGCAUAUAAGUGUUAGAUUUUU
rnacentral:tRNA from 1 species